rnacentral:rRNA from 1 species
GUGAACGCUGGCGGUAGGCCUAACACAUGCAAGUCGAACGGCAGCACAGUAAGAGCUUGCUCUUACGGGUGGCGAGUGGCGGACGGGUGAGGAAUACAUCGGAAUCUACUUUUUCGUGGGGGAUAACGUAGGGAAACUUACGCUAAUACCGCAUACGACCUACGGGUGAAAGCAGGGGAUCUUCGGACCUUGCGCGAUCGAAUGAGCCGAUGUCGGAUUAGCUAGUUGGCGGGGUAAAGGCCCACCAAGGCGACGAUCCGUAGCUGGUCUGAGAGGAUGAUCAGCCACACUGGAACUGAGACACGGUCCAGACUCCUACGGGAGGCAGCAGUGGGGAAUAUUGGACAAUGGGCGCAAGCCUGAUCCAGCCAUACUGCGUGGGUGAAGAAGGCCUUCGGGUUGUAAAGCCCUUUUGUUGGGAAAGAAAAGCAGCAGGUUAAUACCCCGCUGUUCUGACGGUACCCAAAGAAUAAGCACCGGCUAACUUCGUG